rnacentral:lncRNA from 1 species
AGAGCAUUAAUAAUAGUAUGAAAUAGCAGAAUAAAAAUGGUAUAAAACAGCAUAAGCUGGAUGAAGUGUUUAGCACCAGUAAUAUUAAAAAUGCACAUUUUGCAAGAGGCUUAUCGCCAUUUGAGUUGUAUUAUAUUCCAGCUAUGAGAGAACUUAUGGACAAACAAUCGCAUCUAGAAUUAGACAUAGAAGAAGAAAUGUCAUAACUGUUAAGAAGAAAAGAUAUUACGACAUUUGUUUGUUGUGUCACAUGCAGAAAACUCGGACAGGUAGAGUCCAGUGAAGCCAGGAGAUUGGGUAUUCCUAAAAGUCAUCAAAAGGAAACACUGGCACUCUCCAAGGUGGGAUGGACCGUUUCAAGUCCUAUUGACAACACCCACAGCAGUCCGAGUCAAAUAAAGAGCAUCCUGAAGACACCUGGCACACUGUAAACGGGUAAAUAUAUCACCCACUCCUGCGGGAGACACUGAUCCUCCAUAAAAGCAGAAACUGGACCUCUUCGUUGGGUGUACAGUCCAGCAUGGUGGACACAACAAAGGGCAAGAUACAACCUCUGACACCUGAGCCAAGCAAGUAGCAGAGAAGACGGGGAGCAAUAAUCGCUGCGUUAUUCACUAACCGUACACUCGCUUACAGUUCUUCUACAGUAGAAUAUUUGAUGACAUAUCACCGUUUAUUGAACUCACGUACCGUUCGUCCAGGAAGGAAAGCUGCGGAGGUUACUGCAGUGAGAUCUCAACUUCGCAGAACGUCACAGUGCCAUCGGACAUCCUCAAAAAAGGAAGUUGGAAAAUGGAAGUUAAUUACGAAAGAGAAGAUGAAGAGUCCUGCAAUGCUCUGGCUACCCACUUUAAAAGCAAAGGAGUCUUCGUCGUCAAUGAGCCAGCUGAACAACCGGAGGGAGCAGAAGCCAGUGCUUCUGCAUCACGGAAACGGCUAGCUCCAGUUGGGAGAGCUUCCUGGAAGAGUUCUCUGUCACUGCACAAGGCAGAAUUCCUUCCAGAGAAGACAUCCACAGUGCUGGAUUUGGGG